AACAUGGGCAUCACAGGGACUACGAAAGAGCCAGAAACUCACUUGUCCGACACAUCCACUCCUCAUCUCCAUCAACUCCUGACUGUCCCAGGCCAAGAUCUGACAAAGAGUCACCUCUCCUUCUGGCUUGGCUCUAAACUGGCGCCACCAGCGACCAAAUCUCUACAGUUUAUACAAGAGAGGUCACUGACCAUGUCUUCACUGACAGAACAGCAGAGGCAAACAUUUAUGCUCUCUUCAAGGACCAAGUCUGCAUCACCUUUGGAGGGAUCAACACUCACACGUACGCCACACUUACCUUCAUUGACCAUGUUCUUAAAGCUAGAACUGGAUAAGACCAUAUCACAUACCACAUCAUUGCCAUUCGAUCUAAAGAGGUCAAUGACCACAGUUCCACAUUCUGAAAAUGGGAGAUUAGUGAGCACGCCUCAACAGGUUGACCUAAACCGAUUAACAUCGACAUUCAGUAGCGUAACCGGUCGGCAGUUAGCCUUUGACGAAACUCUUGUUACAACAUACGUUUCCUCACCUCUUUAUCUGUAUGAGGACCUACUCCAAGUACCUUUGACUCAUAGUGGUCAGCUUGUGACCGUCUCAGCAGAUGACCAUAGACCUAAAACCCACCGUGUUCAGACAACUGCAGGGCCACAGGGUGACAGGGCAGGAUCGCAGACAGUUGACCUCAGCCAAAAGACACUGCAUACUGGUGCACGAUCCAUAGCCUCACUAUCACAGGUACCUCUCCUACCGCCAAUAUCCGCUAAGCAAUCCUGGCAAAUGGAGACCAACAUGACUCUGGAGCCUUCCUUGACUCAAAUACCAUUAGCUGCUCCAGCCACAAGUGAACUGUAUUCUCAAAUAACCGCAGUACAAAGGACGGAAUUAUUUUUUAGAUUCAGCAGUAUUCACGAUGACGCCAACAGCGGCUGACCUUGAAUCACUCUUUGACAGUUCAUAUAGUAUUCCACAGGCAACUGUAGAGGUCCUGGGGACAACAGCUCACGGCCAGCUCUAUCCCAUAGAACUGUCUGCUGUUCAAGGACUAUACACAGAAUCCUCCCUCCUUCUGCAGCAGAGUCUGGAUCCCUCUUACCCUCAGUAUACCCAGUCCAUUGCCCAGGAGGAUCCCUCUUACCCUCAGUAUACCCAGUCCAUAGCCCAGGAGGAUCCCUCUUACCCUCAGUAUGCCCAGUCCAUAGCCCAGAAGGACAUGCUGGGUAUCUCCAUUCAGACUUAUCCCACUGAUUCUCUAGAUUUCCUGUCACAGAGUGCGGAGACAGAACAGACUCCGCUCCCAUCUAAAGUUCAGUGAUUUAGAAAUAAGAGAUCACUACUCUGAUCCAGUUUACAUCCAAACUGACAACUCAAGGCAGUUUUCCUCAGAGUCACCCAAGGAUCGUCCGCAAACAGCUGCCAUAACAGAUCAAAAAUCAGAAUACGGCUCUUUGCAGUUUCUCUCCAAGACCAAGCAGCUUGUAACCGCUACAUUGUUCUCAUCCCUUCACUCUUCCCAAAGUCUAUCCAGCGUCUCAGUAAUCACACAAACCUCCAGCAUUCCAGCAUCUGUCCUCAGUGCCGUAAACAGGUCAGCUGUGUCAUCAAUGCACCAAUCACUGCCCAGGACUCAAGGUGUCACAGGCAUGGGCAGACCAAUCACCGUGUCCAGCUACUGCCCUUUGACCUCCCCACUGAUUAUCAGCACCGGCUGGAGAGAGUAUGACGGAACUUCAAGCUUCUCAUCAGGUCCAGUUGAGAUGCGAGAGGUUUCUUUGGGCCUUGCUCCAACUGGAGUACUUAGAGCAUCUUCCCAGCCCAUGUCUCCUUCAGCUGCCUCCUCAGGGCCCUCCAAUCUCCCUCCCAAAGUGUUGCAGUCCAUCCCACUUCUGGAGGCCACAGUCGGCUUCCCUUUCCACUACACAAUACCAUCAAGGACCUUUCUGGAUCCAGAGGAUGGGGCAGCAGAGUCCCUCUCCCUGGAGCUGAGGUUCAUAGAUGGCCCUCCUGUGACUCUGGGGUCCUGGGUGGCCUUGGAUGGACUUGAGCUGCACGGUGUCCCUCUGGAAGUGGACCUGCAGUUUUCCCCUCAGCAGCUGCUGCUGGCUGCUCGGGGCAAUCAGGGCCUGGCUGCCUGGCUCCCCCUCACCUUGGACCUCCACCGCAGCCAUGCGGAGCCCUGCCACAGCUUUAGCCUCACGGCUCACCGGAGCCUUCACUCCCUCCUCAGCCAGCGCCACAAGGUGGAGCUCCUCCUGGACAAGCUGUCCGGCUUCUUCAAAUGACUCCGGCAGCCACCACCUAGCCGUGCUGUCCCUGGCACCUGGAUCCACUAUUGUGUCUUGGUACAACUUCACCCUAUGCCAGGUGGGGGUUGAUGGUGUCGAGGGACGGUGCCCUGUGGGUCGGGUCUGGCGCAUGUGGGAGGAAAUUAGUUCAGAGGCCAGACAGAGUAGCCCUGCGUUCAGCCAGGCAAUGCUCCCAGAGUUCCCCAUCAGCAAGGUAGGCCCUGUGAGCUACAGACAUGACUGUUUCUCCAGCCCGACUACUGCCGCACCUACAGCCUCUAGUCCCACUCUUUCCACCAGUACUCCAAUCCCACUUCUGACAACACCGUCCCAGCCUCGGAUCCCACCGCUGUGUCAGUGCGACAGACAGACCCCUAUCAUUGGAUGGCCAGUGUGUUGACAGCUCUGCUAGUGGUCUGUUGCCUCUUUCUGGCAGUCACCCUUACAUUUACAAGUUUCUAUUUCUGUAGAAGCCGUGUGAGGGUAAGGACUCUUGCGAUUUGGCCCUCAGAGGGGGUUGUCCCAGGUCACACCAUGGAUCUGAGGGCAAUAAGGCCAAGGAUGCCACCCCUGUUCCAACCAGAAGUACCCCCACCUCCCCCCAGGUUGUGGCUGAACGCCUCACCAGCCAGUGGAGAGCAUCUCUCUCCCACAUAUCUCCAGGGCAGACAUCCUUAUCAAAGAGCAGUGUCUUUUCACCCACCUCCACGAUACCCACAUAACAGACCAUGGGAACACAAACCCCAAGAAGAAAAGCAUACAAACAAAUGAACCCAUUCUAUGGAAGUGAGGUUAUCACACAAAUGUUCAUACACACACUACUCAUGCCACUACGAGGGUUGUAUUUCUAUGUACCAAAACUUACACCAUAAAGCAUUAACACCCUCCUAAAAUGUUUGUUUUUCAUUUCAUUGAGGAAUCUUAAAGUAGAAUUAAGAUACAAUAUCACCAUAGCUGGAUUGGACUAUAUUUCAGACAAAAACCUUGCAAACUGACAAAACAUCAUUGUGUUAUACUUGAGACAGACCAACCGUUCA